rnacentral:rRNA from 1 species
UACGGAGGGCGCUAGCGUUGUUCGGAAUUACUGGGCGUAAAGCGCACGUAGGCAGCUUUGCAAGUCAGAGGUGAAAUCCUGGAGCUCAACUCCAGAACUGCCUUCGAUACUGAGAGUCUCGAGUCCGGGAGAGGUGAGUGGAACUGCGAGUGUAGAGGUGAAAUUCGUAGAUAUUCGCAAGAACACCAGUGGCGAAGGCGGCUCACUGGCCCGGUACUGACGCUGAGGUGCGAAAGCGUGGGGAGCAAACAGG